UACGUAGGGUGCAAGCGUUAAUCGGAAUUACUGGGCGUAAAGCGUGCGCAGGCGGUGAUGUAAGACAUUUGUGAAAUCCCCGGGCUCAACCUGGGAAUUGCAUCUGUGACUGCAUCGCUAGAGUACGGUAGAGGGGGAUGGAAUUCCGCGUGUAGCAGUGAAAUGCGUAGAUAUGCGGAGGAACACCGAUGGCGAAGGCAAUCCCCUGGACCUGUACUGACGCUCAUGCACGAAAGCGUGGGGAGCAAACAGG
rnacentral:rRNA from 1 species